AGUAGGCUCAAUCAAUGACACUCUCAGUCGAUGAUCGAAUCCAAAUGGUCGAAUACGAAAACUGCUCAACUUCAACCAAUGAUUACAAAAUGGAGCUCAGCAAGUGAAAUCUCAGGUUGGAUGGUGAGCUCGUAAUCCUGUCAAGUAAGAUAAUUCAACGAGAAACUAUUCAUUUCGGUCGACGACAGAGAGAGGUUAUUGAUGACGACUGGACUCGUGAAAUUUACAGGGAUCAAAUGUACGCGUCGAAUAAGCUGCAGAACAGACAUUUAUCCAAUCGAUAUUAACUGUGUGCGUCAAAUGGCUAUUUGAAUAUUCCCUCCGCAAGACGUUGCAAUGAACGAUGACCACGCGAAUGCGUCCACGUCGACGAUCAAGAAAUUUUCGAUUCAGAACAAAGACGAGGACGAAAUCGAGAACGAGAACGAAGACGAAGACGAGAAUGAUGAUGAGGACUACGACUAGUACGAGUACGAGGACGAGAACGAGAAUGGUGACGAAAACGAACGCUGAAAACGGGGACGAAAAGGAGCAACGAAAAUGGCAGCGAAAAGCAACGACGAGGACGAGGACGGGAACAAAACCAAGACGAGAACAACGACGAGGACGAGAACGUGAACGAGUACGAAGAUGAGAACGAGAACGAGGAUGAAAACGAACGACGAAUAUGAUGACGAGGGUAGAAGACGAAAACGAACAAUGAGGACGCAUACGAAGGCGACAACGAGUACGAAGAUGAAGUCGAAGACGAGGACGAGGAUGAAAACAAGAACGAGGAUAAAAACGAGAAUGACGAAAACGAGUACGAAGAUCAGAACGAGUACGAGGACGAGUACUCGUCCUUGUCUUCAUCCUCGUCUUCGUCCUCGAACUCGUUGUUCAUUUUCAUCGUUUGUUUUCGUUCCCGUUCUCAUCGUUCGUUCUCGCUUCCAUAUAUGACACGACAAGUGCCAUAUAUGGAAAAGGAAAGAAAAGCCUCUUUUCUAUUCUUAAAAAGAAUUCAGAUCUACAGAAUAUUGUACAAACGUUUUACAAUGCUGAGAGUACAAUUGAAAGUUUAUGUAAAUCCGCGGAACAAAUAAUUGCUCAUUUAUAUAGCUUUAAAAAUUCGGACCAAUCGCUCAGUGAUGCUCGAUAUCAGAAAUUUACAACAUUAGCUGUUCAUGCCUCCGUAGAAAUUCGAUUAGCACAAUUGCCACCAACACAACCCGUCCUGCGUGAACAUGUCAAACGCACUUUUUACCAGAUACAAUCGUGGUUGAGCAAUGAAUUAAAUCCAGAAGAAUGGGGCUGGGAACGAACGAGCACCAUGAUAGUACCUGUUAUGAAGCCUAAGAAUUGAGCACCUGACAAUUUGUUGACACUGGCGAGUUCAUCAAAAUGUUUAAACAGAUAUUUAAAUAUUAAAAAUAAUCUGACGAUGAAUUAACUAAACGUUGAAAUUAAAAAAAAAUUAGGUUUUAAAUGAAAUUGUAUCUUUGGACUGUAAAGUAUUUACACGAAAUGUACUAAGUUUAUGUUUUCAUCAAUUUUCCUGAGUAUCUAUGUUACAGGUAUCAUGUUCGUGUGCUGGAGACUGCAAAACUGCUCGUUGCACUUGCCGAAAAUUGGGAUUACCGUGCACUCAGCUAUGCAAGCAUUGUGAAGGUCAAUCAUGCUCUAAUAUUGCCGUCAAUAGCAUCAGAGAUGAAAUGGGAAAUAUUGCUGGAGAGCAAAAUGAAGAUGACGAGGGGCUACCAGUCAGCGAAUUCCUCAAUAUACUAGAAACUAUUUUUGUAUUUUUUUUCUAAAAAUAUAUUCGAAAACAAAAUUUUUGAAAAAAAACGUCCC
rnacentral:lncRNA from 1 species